rnacentral:tRNA from 1 species
AAGGCUUUAAGUUAAAAAAACUAAUAACCUUCAAAGCUAUAAUUAAAGAAUCUGAGCUCUUUAAGCCUUA